UUCUUGUUCUCUACUAUACUUAUCUCUUUAUAGAUUUACCAUUCUCGUAGUUUUGGAAAGCAAAAGCUUCGUCUCUCUUUUAUUGUUUAGAAAAAUAGAGUGGGAGAUUGAGAGAGCAAAGUUUCGUCGUUGAAGAUUACUCGUAGCCAAACUCUGCUCUUAAGAUUGGUAAGAAUUUGUUAUUAGGAUGUUUCUCUACUUCUUUUUUUAUGAACCAUGUAUUAAUCAUAAUCUCGAAGCAUUUUUUUAUGUUCUGUUUUAUUUUGUUUAUAUUUAAUAUUUAAAUGUGUUCAUUUCUUCUUCCUACUUAAACAAUGUCAGUUUCGAUUCUACAUCAUAUUUGUUAACUCAUUUCCUCUCUUUCUUCUUUCUUUUUUGUUGCAGGUUCUCUCUGCUCUGUGAGGAAAAACCAGAAGUGGGAGGGCUCGUCACAUAUAUAUAUGUCUGCAUCGUAAUCAAGAGAACCAGAGGUGAUUUCAGAGUCUGCUUUUAAGGUUUUGGUAAGAAGCUUCUUUUAUGUCCGGUUUUUUAUUUUAAAUACAUUUGAAAAUAAAGAAACAGAUGGUUGAUCUUUGAAAUCAUUUUGAUGUAUAAAUGUAGCAAUUACACGGAGCAGAUGACAAUGAACAAAGAAAACAUGUGCCGGUCGCGGAUACGCUUAGUCAGCUAACACUAAGUGUGCCGGAGGAAUUUUUUCCAGCUAUGACUAUCUAGUCCUGAUGUAUCGCCAUUUUAUUUCACGGUAAAAAAACAUUUUGUAGGUUAUCGCCAUUUUAUUUUUUGAUGAAUAUUAUUUCCCAAGAUCACUAGUUAUGGAUAAAUAUAUAAAUAUUACAAAAAAUUUCAUUUUUACUUUCCCCGAAUUAUGUCUAUUCUAGCUUUAUCCAUGGUUAUAACACUUAUUGAAUUGUAAAUAGUCAUCCAAUUCAAAAAUUAUGUUUCGGAAUCUUAUAAUCCAAAUUUACAAU
rnacentral:lncRNA from 1 species